AAUCAACGCUGGCGGCGUGCCUAACACAUGCAAGUCGAACGAGAAAGUGGAGCAAUCCAUGAGUAAAGUGGCGACCGGGUGAGUAACACGUGACUAACCUACCUUCGAGUGGGGGAUAACCUCGGGAAACCGGGGCUAAUACCGCAUAACAUCUUUGAAGUGGAAAUUUCGAAGAUCAAAGGAGCAAUUCGCUGGAAGAGGGGGUCGCGGCUGAUUAGCUAGUUGGUGGGGUAACGGCCCACCAAGGCUUAGAUCGGUAGCCGGCCUGAGAGGGCGCACGGCCACACUGGAACUGAAACACGGUCCAGACUCCUACGGGAGGCAGCAGUGGGGAAUUUUGCGCAAUGGGGGAAACCCUGACGCAGCAACGCCGCGUGGAGGAUGAAGUCCCUUGGGACGUAAACUCCUUUCGACCCGGACGAUAAUGACGGUACGGGUGGAAGAAGCCCCGGCUAACUUCGUGCCAGCCGCCGCCGUAAC
rnacentral:rRNA from 1 species